ACGGCUCAGUAACACGUAGUCAACCUAACCUAUGGACGGGAAUAAUCUCGGGAAACUGAGGAUAAUGCCCGAUAGAACAUUAUGCCUGGAAUGGUUUAUGUUCCAAAUGAUUUAUCGCCAUAGGAUGGGACUGCGGCCUAUCAGCUUGUUGGUGAGGUAAUGGCCCACCAAGGCUAUAACAGAUACGGGCUCUGAGAGGAGAAGCCCGGAGAUGGGUACUGAGACACGGACCCAGGUCCUAUGGGGCGCAGCAGGCGAGAAAACUUUGCAAUGUGCGAAAGCACGACAAGGUUAAUCCGAGUGUUUCCUGCUAAAGGAAUCUUUUGUUAGUCGUAAAACCACUAUCGAAUAAGGGGUGGGCAAGUUCUGGUGUCAGCCGCCGCGGUAAAACCAGCACCUCAAGUGGUCAGGAGGGUUAUUGGGCCUAAAGCAUCCGUAGCCUGCUUUGUUAGUUUUCGGUUAAAUCUAUGUGCUCAACAUAUGGGCUGCCGGGAAUACUGCAUAGCUAGGGAGUGGGAGAGGUAGACGGUACUCCGUAGGAAGGGGUAAAAUCCUUUGAUCUAUGGAUGACCACCUGUGGCGAAGGCGGUCUACCAGAACACGUCCGGCGGUGAGGGAUGAAAGCUGGGGGAGCAAACCGGAUUAGAUACCCGGGUAGUCCCAGCUGUAAACUAUGCAAACUCAGUGAUGCAUUGGCUUGUGGCCAGUGCAGUGCCGCAGAGAAGUCGUUAAGUUUGCCGCCUGGGAAGUACGUACGCAAGUAUGAAACUUAAAGGAAUUGGCGGGGGAGCACCACAAAGGGUGAAGCCUGCGGU
rnacentral:rRNA from 1 species